rnacentral:rRNA from 1 species
UACAGAGGGUGCUAGCGUUAAUCGGAUUUACUGGGCGUAAAGCGUGUGUAGGCGGUUCGUUAAGUCGGGUGUGAAAUCCCUGGGCUCAACCCGGGAAUUGCAUUCGAUACUGGCGAGCUAGGGUACGGUAGAGGGCGGCGGAAUUCCGGGUGUAGCGGUGAAAUGCGUAGAUAUCCGGAGGAACACCGAUGGCGAAGGCAACCGCCUGGGCCUGUACUGACGCUGAGACACGAAAGCGUGGGGAGCAAACAGGG